AAUGAAGAGGAUAACAUAAUACUGAGCUAAAAAUUUUGUGUAAAAUAUGUUUUCAGUUUAGUUUACAAUACAAGCUGUAAAUGUGCUGGAGAUUUUAUUGAUGUUGAAGCUUGUAAACAAAACCAAUAAACGUAGGACUUAUUCACGGCAAUGUAUGGGAACCAGAGCUGGGAACCAGUCUAGAAGGCAAAGAAAAUUCCGCCAAGUAAACAACAAAGAAAGGGAUUUGGGAUGUUGUCAGUUGUAUACAUUAUGUGGGCCGGUGACUGCAAGAAGCAAGGAAUGUGGAGCUAAUGCAUGCUGCUAAGGAUGGAAAGUUCUUGUGUUUAUUGGUUGUUCCUGAGACAUCAGUCACAGUUGUACCUUAUUUCCAUUUUAGAAGCAAGGAAUGUGGAGCUAAUGCAUGCUGCUAAGGAUGGAAAAGUCUUGUGUAUAUUGGUUGUGCCUGAGACACCAGUCACAGUUGUACCUUAUUUCCAUUUUAGGUAAUGCCUUUUGAUUUUUUUUAAGUAGAGGAACAAUGCAUUUUUCAUUCAAUAUAAAGCUUCGCUCUCAUUUUUUAACAAAUUUUCAUUGUAUAUUUUUGCAGAAGCAAGGAAUGUGGAGCUAAUGCAUGCAGCUAAGGAUGGAAAGGUCUUGUGUAUAUUGGUUGUGCCUGAGACACCAGUCACAGUUGUACCUUAUUUCCAUUUUAGAAGCAAGGAAUGUGGAGCUAAUGCAUGCUGCUAAGGAUGGAAAGGUCUUGUGUAUAUUGGUUGUGCCUGAGACACCAGUCACAGUUGUACUUUAUUUCCAUUUUAGGGAGUCUAUAUACACUUGAGAGGUGAGCGUCAGAUUUAUUUUGAAGAUUGAUGACUUUCAGAUGUUGUGAUGACAAUUGUUGAAAGAGAUUAUCAACAUAGAACCAAUCCAUAUGAAUGUGCAAGUCAGGACUUGUACAACACCUGAGUACCCAGAUGACUGUUGAACUAAUUGGUGAACAAGAAAAGAUGUCAGAGAGGGGAAUCCAAAACAGAUGUCAUGAUCAAGAAAAUGUACUGUUAUCAAUGAUAUGAUCAAAAAUUUGUAAACAUGUAGUGAUUUAGAAUAUCUUAUCUGUAAUAUAACUCUUCAAUACUUAAUUGUUCACACAUUAUCAUCUUAUCUGUAUAUUAAUCGCCCCUCUUAUAUAACCCCCUGCUGAUUGUAAUGACCUGUGUAUUGAUUCCUGAUCUUAAGGAUCUUAUACAUGUAAUGUGCUCCUGAUCGUCAGGAGCGGAUCUUGAGUACAGGUGUAUAUAUAUAGUGCGACAGAAUUUUAGAAUAAGGUAGGAAGGUGGAAAUAUAGAAGACUUAGUAGAUAGAACUGUUAGAGAUAGAUAAAGUUACUUACUUACUUGGAAUAUAACCUAAUAUUUCUUGGAUUUAUAUGUACAUGUGAUUAUUUAACUUGGAUUUUAUUUUUAGUGAAUUAUUUUUCCUGAAUGUUUCUGUUUGUGAUGUGCUGUGUAAAUAAACUGUAGACUAGAAUUUCGGCAAGAUAUGAACAAGGAUAAAUUGAUUUAUUCAUGCAAACUGACAUUAUGAAAUGUGUUAUAAGACUGCCUGAUGCGGCGCUACAAACUAACUAGUAAAUAUCUUGGAGAUUUAUAGAUGAACAUGCAAGCAUUCUUGGUUUUAAAUGUUAUUCAUUCAGAGUUUUUGCACAAAUUCAAUUUUCAGUACAGUAAUUUAAACUGGAUGAGUGAUUUUCAGUACAGUUAUGUAAAAUGAAUAUGUUACUUUAUUUUGAUUGUCAGUUUCUCAACAGGACAUAAUUUAUUUUUUUGCAGAACAAAACACACAGAACUUUUUUUCUCUUUGUGCAUCAUACACUUGUAAAUGUUUUACACCAUUUUGGUUACAUAUUUUACAUUUAUGACGUGUAAAUCGAACAAACACAUGAAAAUAUGUGAAGCUGGAUACAUAUGCAAACAUGCAUCUACCAUAACCUAUUACACAUUUUCCAAGGUGUGUGAAGUCGAGCACAUACAUGAAAAUGUGUGAAGCUGGACACAUACACAAAUACACAUGCAUCUGCCACAACCUAUUACAUAUUUUCCAAGGCGUGUGAAGUCGAGCACAUACAUGAAAAUGUGUGAAGCUGGACACAUAUGCAAACACACAAGCAUCUAACACAACCUAUUACAUAUUUUCCAAGGCGUGUGAAGUCGAGCACAUACAUGAAAAUGUGUGAAGCUGGACACAUAUGCAAACACACUAACAUUACCACAGACAUAAAAACAAAUCUAAAUUAAAUCAAGCAUAGACAGGCUCAUGGGGUGAAGCUGGACUCGUACAUGAUCUCAUGCAUUUUGCAAACUGCAUCCCCGCAUCUAUUCUAAUAGAUUUUUCACCAUAUUUUGUGUUUGUGAAUAUGUAAAAUGCAUCAUUUUGCAUUACAAGUUGAAGAUGUUAUUAGCCUGUGUAUAAUAAGUGCAAAUCAAAUAGCCUUUUAUGUAAUUUUUUUCACAUUUUUAAUUCAAUUUAAACUGCAAAUUUUAUUUUAUAUAUGUACAUGCACCAGAAAGAAUAAAUAUUGUACAUGUAUUAGUAUUAUAUUUUAAAGUGAAAUGAGACCUCCAUUUCAUAAGCAGAAAUGUAAAAUUUAUACUUGUCAUCUGUAUUUCUUUUUUGUAUUUUUUCUCACAUGUAUCUGAAUGUUUAAAGGAAAGCAAAAGUCAAAGAUAGCUCAAUAUAAUGUUUAUAUUCAAGGUUAUAACUGGAUAUUGUUUGUGCUGUAUAUCUGACUGAUCAUAUUAUGAGAAGCAAAAAUACAGAAUAUUUUAGAUCAUUUUUGAUUGGAAAAUGAAAAAUAUCAGUAUGCCAAUUUUUCCCAUUGUUAUAUUUUUAAUUACUUUAUCAUUAAUAUCAAUGUACAUAUUAAAGAUCUAUGUCAUCCAAUUCAGAGAGUUGUAGGCAAUCCUGGUGCAGAUAAUAUUUUUUUCCUGUGUUUCGCAGUAUAGCGGGAAUACUUUGUAUGCGAGGAAUGUAUAUCAAUGGUUUUGGUUGUAUAUGUGGGCGUGGCCAAAGAAAAGCCAAUGAGAAAUGAGUAUUCAGUAAUAUGUUCAUAUCAUUCUAAGCCAGUGCUCUUCAAUACAUACACAUUUUUUUUUGCUUUAUAUAUAUCAUAUUUGUAUAAAUAUACUGGUAAUGGAAAUAACAAAACUGUUGAAAUGUAUUUUAAUUUUGAUUUUUUCAUACAUGCAAAUAUUAUAGGAUGUUCAUGCAUUUUUAACUAUUGCACCGAAUGCACGUCCGGCAUUCUCCUUUGAGACAUUAUUUACAUAGCGACGGACACAGGUUUUCCAUAGUUAACCAUCUAUGGUUUUUGCCUGGGCGGUUUUUAAUGUCAGUGAUAGGGAUACAAUUUAUUACAUGUAAAUUAUUUUGCAAAUGCAUUGCAGUGCUUUAUUGUUUCACAUUCAAUGUAAUGUAUAUUAAAAAUUUAUGUUUUGUUACAUGUAUCAAAAUAAACGCCAGCUGCUCCAACUAAGCUAACCUGGCUUACAUCA